rnacentral:rRNA from 1 species
UAAAGUCGUAACAAGGUUUCCGUAGGUGAACCUGCGGAAGGAUCAUUAUCGAAUAAACUUGAACGGGUUGUUGCUGGCUCUCCAGGGAGCAUGUGCACACUUGGUCUCGUCUUUAUUCCUCCCAACUGUGCACUUAUUGUAGACCCUGGAGGCAAAUUGUUGCUGAUCAUCCAGAUUGAUUGAGGACUGCUGCGCUUUUUUCAAAAGCCAGCUUUGCCUCGCGUCUCCAGGUCUAUGUCAUUACACAACCUCUACAGAAUCAGAAUGUUUGGAUCGUUGAUAUGAUAAAUAUAUACAACUUUCAGCAACGGAUCUCUUGGCUCUCGCAUCGAUGAAGAACGCAGCGAAAUGCGAUAAGUAAUGUGAAUUGCAGAAUUCAGUGAAUCAUCGAAUCUUUGAACGCAUCUUGCGCUCCUUGGUAUUCCGAGGAGCAUGCCUGUUUGAGUGUCAUUUGAGUUCUCAACCGCGCCAAUUUCUUUUUUGGUGUGGCUUGGAUGUGGGGGCAUUUUGUUGCCGGCUUUGGAAACGAGGUCGGCUCCCCUGAAAUGUAUUAGUGGUGUCUGAGCAGGGACUACUGCAGGUGUGAUAAUUUAUCUGCACCUCUGGUAUGCUGUAUGAACAGACUGUGCUGCUUCUAACAGCCGGAAUCGUUUGACAAACUUGACCUCAAAUCAGGUAGGACUACCCGCUGAACUUAAGCAUAUCAAUAAGCGGAGGAAAANNNNUAACAAGGAUUCCCCUAGUAACUGCGAGUGAAGCGGGAAAAG